rnacentral:tRNA from 1 species
GAAAGAGGCCCGAGGCACUAAAGACUGCUAAUCUUUACUACCAUGGUUAAACUCCAUGGCUCAUUCG